UUUUUUUCUUUUUUUUUUUUUUUUUUUUUUUUUUUUUUUUUUUUUUUUUGUGAGCGCCCUGCCGGUACGGCCACCAUGUCUAUUUAUAGACAUGUCCUCUACGUCUUAAGUUAUUUGUCUCCUUCAAGUGACCUGUCCUGGGAUUUCCUGCUUUUUUCCCCCUUCUCUCCAUUUUGGGCUCCCUGCUUGGCAUUAUUCCUCCUUUCAUUUAUCCAUUUCAUCCAUUGGGCCUGUGUUUGAAAGAUAUGCUUUCAUUCUUUUUUUUUUUGAUUUAUUCAAAAUGUACUCUCAAAUUUUAGCAUCAAAUAUUUGCCUUGGGUCUGCAAACAGAAAUGGUGCUUCUCCCUGUAUUAGUCAUUCUUCUUGUGGAGAGAGUAAUUUUUUGAUAAUGUAGAUGUGAAAGAACAGUGCUGUGGUUUAUGCGGCUCAUGAUUGUGUUCACAGUUUGCAAUGCAAAUGAGUCUCUCUAGCAGCUUCAUAGUGCAUCCUAACGCCAGAGCUCUUUUAUUUGUGUUUUCUUCUCUGCGUAAAAUGCCAAAAUCCUCAAGUCAUUGGGUUCUUCUUGCUUAAUCAGUGCUUUUGUAGUCCUCACUGCUUUUAGCCUUAAAGAAAAAGAGGAAACGUGGGAGUUUCCUGCUGUGUAUUUGAUUUUUGGAUUCUAUUAAACUGUUGGUACUCUGUUUAAAUUUCAUUAUUGUGUGUGCGAGUGUGUAUGUGAAGAAUGACCGUGUCCUCUUGAUGAGUCCAGGCAGCUGACGCUCGGAAGCGCCCUGUGGAAAUGUCAGCUGUAAUUAGCGCUUGUUAAGCAAAUGGCAGGGUUAAUGACCUCGUCGUCUCCCUGCCCACAGCAACAGUCUGUUGACUGUUGACUGACUGCGACUGGCUGCGACCGAACCGGCGUUAAACAUGUAUUAUUCAAUUUGACCGCUACGUCCAAGGUGUUGAUGAGCACUCCUGGAUGCUGCGAAUUUCGGGGGGAAUUAUGGGACACCAUAAUGGCUAAUUGUGCAGUUCGGUGCUUAUUUUUAGCUGUCCUGUCAAAGAUCAGGACACUUACGAGGGAAAGAAACCAAAGGACAAAAGGUGAUUUCACAGGCACUCCGAUAUUGGGUGACGAGUAAGUCCGUGGAGAGAGUGAACUGAGAGAGAGUCCUUUGACGGACCGACAGGGAAAGUGUUUUGGGCCUCUGCGGUAUGCUGUCCUCAUGAGAAAUGACGAAGGAAGAUUUUAAAGAGUCAUUUUGAAUUAUGUGAAAUGUUUGGCCUUUACAUGUCAGCAGCUUCCUGCUUUAGGGGGCUUUGUGUUGGAGAGUACUGAAGGUGGACCAUUGUGAUCUGUCUAAAUAUUACCUCUUCUGCGUCCCCUGCGCUCCACGGCCCCCGGCACUCCCAUCCGUCAGGAGGCAGGAAUGGUUCUCCCAUGCAGAAGGACUCGUCUGCGGCUGAAAUAUUGAUCACAGCGGCUCAUGGAAGAGCUGCCACCCAAAGCCCGUGACAGCACUCGGGUCACUGUGACAAAGACAGAGGUGCCAAACUGGCUUUAUGAAUGUGUUGUGAGGUUAUGAAUGCGGCAGCUCUGAGCCUGAAGUCAUGAUGAAGGGAUGAAGGCUUGCUUGAAUUUCAAACAUGGACUGAUUCGAAUAUUCCCUUUUUCUUCUUCAAAAACACAUAAAGUACUGAUAAAUGGUUUGAAGAGAGAGGCACUAAAAGGAUGAAACUCCAGAGAAGAGACUGAAUGGAGCGAGUGCAGUAUCAGGCGUCGACGGGGAAUGCAAACAAGUGGCCAUCUCACUCUCCACCAUCUGCGCUCUGAAGACAGUUUUUCAGUGGCCACAAGCAUUCUUCAAAAGCUCUUUUGAGGCCGGUUUGGAAAGUUUGUGCUGGUGAUAUCUCUCUGUUUUAAACUCUGAAGACUAAACUUUGGAGUGGAAACUUUUUUCAAAGAUUUUUAGAAGUUUGAUUAUUUUGUGAACUAAGGCCAUAUGCAAGUAUGAUUACUUCAUACUGUAGCAGUGACUUUACUCCAGGACUCAAGAGACUUGCCUUUAAAAGUCUGCACCAUUAGACUAGACCUGCUAUUCACAUUCAUGUACUAGAGUAGAAUAUGUUUCGCAGUUUUAUGUGAAUGUGAAUAGUCCAUAAAAGGAUUUGGACACUUAAGGUACACUUAAAAAUCUCAGUUAUGUCUCUGUAAUUAGCAGGGUUAUUUUAGUAUUGUGUAUAUAUACAGUUAGUAUUAAAUAAUUGUUUGGAUUAGCAUUUAUAUAUUUA